rnacentral:lncRNA from 1 species
UGACCUUUCUCUGUCACUUCUCCGAGUUUUGAAAAACUCACAAUACUUUAAGGAACAAUACCUAGCCUUUCUGAUGACACAAUGAAUUCCUGUGCAUUCCAAUCUUAGAAUCUGUAGGGCAUGGAGACUGCUCUGUGGCACAACUAGAGAAGGAGAGUAAGAUGUGGGGGACAGUUGGAAGAGUGGUAAAGCAGUAGAGGCAGAAUGCUCAUUUUGGUAAUCAAGGAGCACCAACAGCUGGUUCCUGUUGAAUGCCAUCAGGAUGAUUCAGCCACCCACCAGGAACACCAGUAACAGCAAGUGCACGCACAGAAAUCUGCAAAACUUUCUUCUUUUGAUGCCAACACUAUUACUCUGGCAAAGUCAAAACCCUUUAUGGAUUUACCAGUUCAACUAAAUGUGACCUUGUUCCCCUCACAAAUACCAGCUCACUCUCAAAUAAACACAACUUCUGGCUGAUUAAAAUGCAACGUUCUUCCACAGUUGAGUGCACCCUGCAGUGAGUCCCUCCUCUGUGCUGUGUCUACAUUCUCUCCCUUUUUCAUUUUUUCACUGUUCAAUGAAACUUCAAAGGAUGAAUGAGAUCCAUAUACACUCAGAGUCCACCUUGUAUGUUGUCCUGCUUACUGCUGACCACAUGCAUUUAAAGUUAUGCCUCAAGUUGUUUUAUUGUUUCUAUUUUUAAGAAGUUUUCCAUUUCCACAGAAUGUGGUAAUAUGCCUUGAAAAACAGAAAUGUGUAGAUAAACUGUGCUGACCACAGACUUCAUUAAUACAUGAUUUCCAUGCCAUACUCUAGCCAGUUAAAAAUUCUAUACCUUCCUCCUUCAAAUCUAGACCAGAUUACAGACUUAAAGGAAGAAAAUGCCAAAGAUGACAGCUAGCUAUCAAAAAUGUUCUAGUGCCUCAUUUUCAGGUCUCCAAAGUAAAAUCUAAGGGCAUUCGACAAAGAUUCAGGUGCUCUCAAUAGCCAUGAAAAUAUAUGGCUGAAGAGGGAAUCUGUAAAUGUAAUGAAUACACAAUUGGCUUAUAACAGAUGCAACCAAAAUUAAAUUCAAGAUCUUGACCUACUCUUCAAAGUGAAAGUUUUUAGUUCAUGCUACAGAGAG